ACUUUGACCUCGGAUCAGGUAGGGAU
rnacentral:rRNA from 1 species